GAUUUUCUGAGUAGCGGCGAGCGAAAGGGAAAGAGCCCAAACCGAUUUGAGGAUCGGGGUAGUAGGAUCAUCAAUAAAUCUGACAGAGGAUCAUAGAGGAAUCACAUGGGAAGGUGAGCGAGAGAGGGUGAGAGCCCCGUACUCGAAAUGAGAGACUGGAGAGAGAUGACACCUGAGUAGGGCGGGACACGAGGAAUCCUGUCUGAAUCGGCCGGGACAAUCCGGCAAGGCUAAAUACGAGAGUAGUGACCGAUAGUGAACCAGUACCGUGAGGGAAAGGUGAAAAGAACCCCGGGAGGGGAGUGAAAGAGAACCUGAAACCAUAUGCCUACAAGAAGUCAGAGCCCGUUAAAGGGUGAUGGCGUGCCUUUUGUAGAAUGAACCGGCGAGUUACUGUAUGGAGCGAGGUUAAGCAGGAUAUGCGGAGCCGAAGCGAAAGCGAGUCUUAAGAGGGCGCGAGUUGCAUGCAGUAGACCCGAAACCGGGUGAUCUAGCCAUGACCAGGUUGAAGUUGGGGUAAAACCCGAUGGAGGACCGAACCGACCCCCGUUGAAACGUUGGCGGAUGAGUUGUGGCUAGGGGUGAAAUUCCAAUCGAACCCGGAGAUAGCUGGUUCUCCCCGAAAUAGCUUUAGGGCUAGCGUCGAGGUAGAGAGUUGCGUGAAGGUAGAGCACUGAAUAUGUGAUGGCCCCAUCUCGGGGUACUGAGCAUAAUCAAACUGCGAAUGUCACGCCAACAUGCUCGGCAGUCAGACAGCGGGUGAUAAGGUCCGUUGUCAAGAGGGAAACAGCCCAGACCAUCAGCUAAGGUCCCAAAAUGUAUGCUAAGUGGAAAAGGAUGUGGAGAUGUACAGACAACUAGGAGGUUGGCUCAGAAGCAGCCAUCCUUUAAAGAGUGCGUAACAGCUCACUAGUCGAAUGACUCUGCGCCGAUAAUUUACCGGGGCUAAGCAUACUACCGAAGCUAUGGAUCCCAAGGGAUGGUAGGGGAGCGUUCCAUGAACGGAGAAGCGUGAUCGAGAGGACGCGUGGAGAUCAUGGAAGAGAGAAUGCCGGUGUGAGUAGCGGAACGUGGGUGAGAAUCCCACGCACCGAAAACCCAAGGUUUCCAGAGGAAGGUUCGUCCGCUCUGGGUAAGUCGGGACCUAAGGCGAGGCCGAGAGGCGUAGUCGAUGGACAACAGGUAGAGAUUCCUGUACUCAUAUAUAUGUGAAGGAAUGACGGAGAGAGGAAGCUGCAGCCAGCGGCUGGAAGAGCUGGUGCAAGCGAGAUAUCGGGAUGGCAGGCAAAUCCACCAUCCGAAACGAGAAGGCGUGAAGCGUACGGAAAGCUAAGGCGAGUACGGAAGGCAGUGGAGGAGCUUCCAAGAAAAGUUUCUAACGAAAGUAUAUGUGACCCGUACCGAAAAUGGACACACAUGGGUGAGGAGAGAAUCCUAAGGUGAGCGAGAGAACUAUAGCUAAGGAACUCUGCAAAAUGACUCCGUAACUUAGGGAGAAGGAGUGCUCAUAGAGAUAUGAGCCGCAGUGAAACGGCCCAAGCGACUGUUUACCAAAAACACAGCUCUCUGCUAAGCCGCAAGGCGAAGUAUAGGGGGUGACGCCUGCCCGGUGCUGGAAGGUUAAGGGGAGGGGUUAACGCAAGUGAAGCCCUGAACUGAAGCCCCAGUAAACGGCGGCCGUAACUAUAACGGUCCUAAGGUAGCGAAAUUCCUUGUCAGGUAAGUUCUGACCC
rnacentral:rRNA from 1 species